rnacentral:rRNA from 1 species
AUUGAACGCUGGCGGCAGGCCUAACACAUGCAAGUCGAACGAGUGGCGGACGGGUGAGUAAUGUCUGGGAAACUGCCUGCUGGAGGGGGAUAACUACUGGAACCGGUAGCUAAUACCGCAUCCCAUCGGAUGUGCCCAGAUGGGAUUGGCUAGGAGGUGGGGUAAAGGCUCACCUAGGCGACGAUCCCUAGCUGGUCUGACAGGAUGAACAGCCACAUGGGAAGUGAGACACGGGCAAGACUCCUACGGGAGGCAGCAGUGGGGAAUAUUGGACAAUGGGCGCAAGCCUGAUUCAUCCAUGCCGCGUGUAUGAAGAAGGCCUUCGGCUUGUAAAGUACUUGCAUCGGGGAGGCGUUACCCGCAGAAGAAGCACCGGCUAACUCCGUGCCAGCAGCCGCGGUAAUUC